rnacentral:rRNA from 1 species
UGCAAGUCGAGCGGUAACAGGUGUAGCAAUACAUGCUGACGAGCGGCGGACGGGUGAGCAAUGUUUGGGAAUCUGCCUAUUAGUGGGGGACAACCCGGGGAAACUCGGGCUAAUACCGCAUACGCUCUACGGAGGAAAGCCGGGGACCGCAAGGCCUGGCGCUAAUAGAUGAGCCCAAAUCGGAUUAGCUAGUUGGUGAGGUAAUGGCUCACCAAGGCGACGAUCCGUAGCUGGUCUGAGAGGACGACCAGCCACACCGGAACUGAGACACGGUCCGGACUCCUACGGGAGGCAGCAGUGGGGAAUAUUGGACAAUGGGCGAAAGCCUGAUCCAGCGACGCCGCGUGGGUGAAGAAGGCCUGCGGGUUGUAAAGCCCUUUCGGUGGGGACGAAAAGCCUCGACCUAACACGUCGGGGUCUUGACUUAACCCAAGAAAGAAGCACCGGCUAACUCUGUGCCAGCAGCCGCGGUAAUACAGAGGGUGCGAGCGUUAAUCGGAAUUACUGGGCGUAAAGCGCACGUAGGUGGCUUGACAAGUCGGUUGUGAAAGCCCCGGGCUCAACCUGGGAACUGCAUCCGAGACUGUCUUGCUAGAGUAUGGGAGAGGGAAGUGGAAUUUCCGGUGUAGCGGUGAAAUGCGUAGAUAUCGGAAGGAACAUCAGUGGCGAAGGCGACUUCCUGGACCAAUACUGACACUCAAGUGCGAAAGCGUGGGGAGCAAACAGGAUUAGAUACCCUGGUAGUCCACGCCAUAAACGAUGAGAACUGGAUGUCGGGAGGGUCUGCCUCUCGGUGUCGUAGCUAACGCGUUAAGUUCUCCGCCUGGGGAGUACGGCCGCAAGGUUGAAACUCAAAUGAAUUGACGGGGACCCGCACAAGCGGUGGAGCAUGUGGUUUAAUUCGAUGCAACGCGAAGAACCUACCUGGUCUUGACAUCCUAGGAAUCCUUCAGAGAUGAGGGAGUGCCUUCGGGAACCUGGAGACAGGUGCUGCAUGGCUGUCGUCAGCUCGUGUCGUGAGACGUUGGGUUAAGUCCCGCAACGAGCGCAACCCUUGCCCUUAGUUGCCAGCAUUUAGUCGGGAACUCUAAGGGGACCGCCGGUGACAAACCGGAGGAAGGUGGGGAUGACGUCAAGUCAUCAUGGCCCUUAUGACCAGGGCUACACACGUGCUACAAUGGUCGGUACAGAGGGUUGCCAAACCGCGAGGUGGAGCCAAUCCCAGAAAGCCGGUCGUAGUCCGGAUCGCAGUCUGCAACUCGACUGCGUGAAGUCGGAAUCGCUAGUAAUCGCGAAUCAGCGAUGUCGCGGUGAAUACGUUCCCGGGUCUUAUACACACCGCC